GCCCCCUGCCCACAGAGCCUAGAAAUAGCUCUGUGUGGUUUCUGCCACUCCUUCAGGUGGAGAGGCCACAUAGUGCUGGAACCACCCUGGUUCCAGGCCUGGCUCUGCCACUUCCACUGACAGGAUCUCUAUAGGUCAUUUUCUUUUUCUAACAUGCAGUUUCUUUGUGAAUUCAGGAAGUUGAACAUCUCCCAAAGUUGGACUUGACUUCUAGCCCCAAGAUUCUACAAACGGAUAGUACUCUCCAGAGGCAAACUUCAUCUUCUUCCCUUCUGUCCAUGAAAUGGACACUUACUUUAUAUUAUUAUCUCAGUCACUGGUGAUUCAAAAACGAAAAGAGAAAGCCUUUGCUCUCAAGUCACUCAGAAUCUUCUAGGGAGACACACAUGUCCACAGAUAAUUACAACACAAUGAAGGGUUUCUGGCCACCCAGAGAUAAAGGACUUCCGCCUUGGUUGUUACUGACCUCCUAUCUUGGGAAGUGGGAGAGGUGCAGGAAAUACUUUCCUGAUCGCGUUCGGCUCAAAGAGGAAGGACAGUGUGUUUCAAUGUGUUCUGGUUAAAGAAAAAAGUGUGUUUAUUUUCACUGAGAAGAAGAAACUGAAAACUCUGGCAUUUAAAUAAAUAGGAAGAAUUUAUUUUUCCUUUUCAGGUCAUGAAGCUAGUUAAUGAUUAGUGAAACCCACGUGGGUGUUUCCUGAGAGGCUGGGUUAUGUGAUCUCUUUGGCUUUAGAGAAUUACUCCAUACCAGCUCUGAGAUCUCCAGCUCAGCGAUGCCCUCAGGUCCCUGGAAGAGCUGCUUUUGGGUCAGGGGCCUCCUUUUGUGGCUCAGUGUUGGAAGUGCAGGAUAUGCACCUCCUACCCGACAGACAAAGUGUGCUGACUUCCAGAAUGCCAACCUUUUUGAAGGCACCAUCCUCAAUGUCCGGUUUCUCCUCUUUGUCCCUUCGAAUCCCAGCUGUGGGAAGCUAGUAAAAGAAAGCAGUGACCUCCAAAACUCUGGGUUCAAUGCCACUCUGGAAACCAAACUAAUUAUCCAUGGAUUCAGGGUCUUAGGAAAAAAGCCUGCCUGGAUUGAUAAAUUAAUUAGAACCCUUCUGCGUGUAGCGAAUGCUAAUGUGAUUGCCGUGGACUGGAUUUAUGGAUCUACAGGGAUCUACUUCUUAGCUGUGAAAAAUGUGUUUAACUUGAGCCUCGAGAUCUCCCUUUUCCUCGAUAAACUCCUGGUUCUGGGAGUGUCAAAAUCCUCAAUCCACAUCAUUGGUGUUAGCCUGGGGGCCCACGUUGGUGGCAAAGUGGGACAGCUCUUCAGAGGCCAGCUGGGACAGAUCACAGGUCUGGACCCCGCUGGACCUGAGUACACCAGGGCCAGUGUGGAGGAGCGCUUGGAUGCCGGAGACGCCCUCUUCGUGGAAGCCAUCCACACAGACACUGACAUGUUCGGUAUUCGGAUUCCUGUCGGACACGUGGACUACUUCGUCAAUGGAGGCCAAGACCAACCUGGCUGUCCUACCUUCAUUCACGCAGGUUAUUACUAUCUAGUCUGUGAUCACAGGAGGGCUGUGGAACUCUACAUCAGCGUCCUGGAGAAUUCCUGUCCACUGAUGGCCUUUCCCUGUGCCAGUUACAAGGCCUUCCUUGCCGGACACUGUCUGGAUUGCUUGAAACCUUUUCUGCUUUCCUGCCCAAGGAUAGGACUGGUGAAACAAGGUGGUGUCAAGAUAGAGCCGCUUCCCAAGGAAGUGAAAGUCUACCUCCUGACCACUUCUAGUGCUCCAUACUGCAGAGCAAGUUAUUUAACCUCUCUGAACUCUAUAUCCUCAUGUAGAAAUGGGAACCAUAACAGUACCUACUUCAAAGAAUCAACUCACAUCACAACCUGGUGGAGUUUCACAUGAAGGAACUGAGAAACAAGGACACCAACAUCGAGGUUACCUUCCUUAGCUGUAACGUCACUUCCUCGGUUAUGAUCACCAUUCCUAAGCAGCAAUGGCAGGGGAAAGGAAUCAUAGCCCAUGCCACCCCACAGUGCCAGGUAAACCAAGUGAAAUUCAAGUUGCAGUCUUCCAGUCGAGUUUGGAAACAAGACUGGACUACCAUUGUUGGGAAGUUCUGCACUGCUCCUUUGCCUGUCCAUGACAGGGAAAAGACGUUCUGUUUACCUGAACCAGUGAACUUACGAGCAAGUGUGACUGUUUCUUGUAAUCUGAAGAUAGACUGUGUAUAGUUUAACCUGGGCAAGAUACAUGUCCCUGCAUUUUUUCUCUGAGGGAGCUCUGAUGAGGGAUGUGUGCGUGCGGCCUAUUGUAGACCAUUACUACUAAGGAGAAAGGCAAAGCUCUUUCUUAUUUUCCCCAUAAUUAGCUAUCCUGGAGGGGAGGAAGAACUCAUUUGACAGAACUUGGUUUCCAUUGCUCAUCUUCUGUACAUACCCAUUUGAGCUUUCCUAUGCAUACUUAAUUACAGUUUCUUCAUCUCCUUGGGCAUCUGUACUUAGGAUUCAGUAGAAACAUUUAUAGAAUAAAGAAUUUUUUAAGAAUAAAACUUCAUGGAGUACCUGAA